GGUAUCUUAAAUCAUGCCUGUUAAAUGCUUGUUUGGCAGCCGGUUGCUUGACUGCUCUGCCUGGCCGUACUUAGGAAGGGUUUUUGAGUUUUAUUUAUAGCCUAAAGGCAAGGCGAUGCCAAUUGCCUGUGAUACGUCUACAGAUACAAUGCAAUCAAUUCAAAUCGAGAGAAAUUCAAGCUAAAAUAAAUUGAGAGAAACCAAAAGUGGAUAACGAACCUGAAGAAAAGCCUCAUGUGGCUUUAUAUUAUGCAUUAAGAAAAUUUAAGAAAGCAUUGGAAAAUGUAUGAAAACAUCUCAACAGCCGCUGAAGCCUCCUCGAACGGAAGUCGAGGAGGAUGAGUUGACGCCAGCUUGCAGCCAAACGUGAAGUAUGCGGGGCUGUGCUUAGGGGAAAUUGCCAAAAGUCAUUAAAUUGCUGAGCAACGAGGCUGGAGCAAUAAGCUGUUGCUCUCGACUGCUAACCAGGAUGGAUGGAUCACUGGAAUGGAAUGCAGCUGCAAUGGCUCAUUUUUAUGCAAUCCCAUCAUCAUACAGCCUGGAGACUCAGAGACAGAGAGAGAGAGAGAGAGAGAGAGAGAUAGAGAGAGAGGGGGAGACAGGGAGAGCACAUGGAGAGACAAGCAGAGAGUCAGAUACCUCAAGCAGUGUCUGCCAUCUGCUACUGACGUUUACCAUAAAUAUAAUUAAAGUUUCAUUUCCGUGUUAGAGCUGCGAAUGACAAGCGCUGCGGGCACGUGGCGUAUGAGUGAUGCCAGCGCAGCCAACUCAAAUGCCAUUCAAACUGCGAACAAACAUUUCAAAUUUCAUAUGAAAAGUGCAUUUCCAACUUCGUUAUGUCACACAUUCACUUUUUACAAAAUGCAUAUUUAUGACGUUAGUGUAAUUAA